rnacentral:rRNA from 1 species
ACUUGAAUUGAAGAGUUUGAUCAUGGCUCAGAUUGAACGCUGGCGGCAGGCUUAACACAUGCAAGUCGAACGGUAGCAGGAGAAAGCUUGCUUUCUUGCUGACGAGUGGCGGACGGGUGAGUAAUGCUUGGGAAUCUGGCCUAUGGAGGGGGAUAACGACGGGAAACUGUCGCUAAUACCGCGUAUUAUCGGAAGAUGAAAGUGCGGGACUGAGAGGCCGCAUGCCAUAGGAUGAGCCCAAGUGGGAUUAGGUAGUUGGUGGGGUAAAGGCCUACCAAGCCUGCGAUCUCUAGCUGGUCUGAGAGGAUGACCAGCCACACUGGAACUGAGACACGGUCCAGACUCCUACGGGAGGCAGCAGUGGGGAAUAUUGCGCAAUGGGGGGGAACCCUGACGCAGCCAUGCCGCGUGAAUGAAAAAGGCCUUAAGGUUGUAAAGUUCUUUCGGUAUUGAGGAAAGGUGAAUGUGUAAUAGCAACAUCAAAUUGACGUUAAAUACAAAAAAAGCACCGGCUAACUCCGUGCCCGCCACCGCGGUAAAUCCGAAGGGUGGCAAGGGUAAAACGGAAAAACCGGGGCGUAAAGGGACCGCCGGGCGGGUAUUUAAGGGAGGGGGAAAAACCCCCGGGGCUUAACCUGGGAAUUGCAUUUUCUAACCGGGGUAACUAAAAUAAUUUAAGGAAGGGGAAAAAAUUCCAAGUUAUACCGAGUAAAAGGGGAAAAAAAUAGAGAAAAAAUCACCAAAGGAAAAAGGAAACCCCUUGGGGAAAGUUUCGAGACCCCCUAUGAUCAAAAACAGCGUGGAGCCAAAAAAGGAUUAAAAAACCCUGGGAACACCCCCCUGUAAAAAACCCUUUUAAAUUAUGGGGGGGGGGGGGGAUUAAUACUUCUUGCGUCCCACCUAAACAUAAUGCAAUAUAAAAUCUCACACCCCCCUGGGGUGGAUAGACGCCCGCCCACGGAAUGAAAUAAAAAUUUAAAAUGUUUCAAGUUAUGGAUGCGUGCAGGGC